rnacentral:rRNA from 1 species
UACGGGGGGGGGUAAGCGUUGUUCGGAAUUACUGGGCGUAAAGGGCUCGUAGGCGGCCAACUAAGUCGGACGUGAAAUCCCUCAGCUUAACUGGGGAACUGCGUCCGAUACUGGAUGGCUUGGAUUUGGGGAGAGGGAUGCGGAAUUCCAGGUGUAGCGGUGAAAUGCGUAGAUAUCUGGAGGAACACCGGUGGCGAAGGCGGCAUCCUGGACCAAUAUUGACGCUGAGGAGCGAAAGCCAGGGGGAGCAAACGGG